GUUUAUUAACAAAACCGUAACACCUAAACUUUCCUCAUGAUGGUACCAUUAAAAAUGGACCAAAGCUAUUCCUAAUAUCUGGCAAACAUAAGAAAAAUGAAAAUAUGUAAGAAGUGCUUCAGACCACAUAAAGCUGUUGAAGGGGUAUCUGUCUAGUUUGAUUCACAUUUAUGCAAAGAGAAAUUACUUGUUUCGCUUGGUCUCUCGUACUGACCAAAUCGGAUUAUCUGGUCAAGCCAAAGAGGCGAACAAACAAAUAAAUGUAAUGAGUUUAAGUGGCAAUGACAAAAAUUGUCAGACAUUUUAUUGAGCAAAUAUUAAAAAUAUUACGAAUCGCUAGCCAUUAGAAGCAGCCGUUGCCAAGGCCCUGCAAGCUGCCAUCUAACAAGAACAAGCACAAACACAGUUAAGGAUACAAAUACAGAUGCAGACACACAGAUACGAUUGUGAAUUUGUGAGAUUUGAUUUUGAAAUUGGCCGGACGAAAAGUCAGUGAUAAAAGACGCAUGGGCAAGGGGUAAGACAAGAUGUUAAGCUGAAAGCGCGCGAUAGAAGGGAAGGCUGCCAUAGGAGAUGGAGUGCAUAAGAUAAGCAAAGAUAUUAUGGCUGUGGAGAUAUACUGGGCUUGGAAUUUAUUUAACUACAUAGCUUCAACUUCAACGUGAAAAAAGUUUUUAUGCAUACCGAUAUGGCCUUCUUUCAAUUCAGCUCUAACCUACGCGACGGAUGGUGACCAAAUUUCAUGUAGUCCAACAAUUUCAUAAAGAGGGUGAAGAAAAAUAUAUGAAACACGCUUUAACGCCUU